GCAUUAUACCGUGAAACUGCGAAUGGCUCAUUAAAUCAGUUAUCGUUUAUUUGAUAGUACCUUACUACUUGGAUAACCGUGGUAAUUCUAGAGCUAAUACAUGCUAAAAACCCCAACUUCGGGAGGGGUGUAUUUAUUAGAUAAAAAACCAAUGCCCUUCGGGGCUCCUUGGUGAUUCAUGAUAACUUCUCAGAUCGCAUAGCCUUGAGCUGGCGACGGUUCAUUCAAAUUUCUGCCCUAUCAACUUUCGAUGGUAAGGUAGUGGCUUACCAUGGUUGCAACGGGUAACGGGGAAUUAGGGUUCGAUUCCGGAGAGGGAGCCUGAGAAACGGCUACCACAUCCAAGGAAGGCAGCAGGCGCGCAAAUUACCCAAUUCCGAUACGGAGAGGUAGUGACAAUAAAUACUGAUACAGGGCUCUUUUGGGUCUUGUAAUUGGAAUGAGUACAAUUUAAACCUCUUAACGAGGAACAAUUGGAGGGCAAGUCUGGUGCCAGCAGCCGCGGUAAUUCCAGCUCCAAUAGCGUAUAUUAAAGUUGUUGCAGUUAAAAAGCUCGUAGUUGAACCUUUGGCCUGGCUGGCAGGUCCGCCUCACCGCGUGCACUUGUCCGGCCGGGCCUUUUCUUCUGGAGAACCGCAUGCCCUUCACUGGGUGUGUUGGGGACCAGGACUUUUACUUUGAAAAAAUUAGAGUGUUCAAAGCAGGCCUUUGCUCGAAUACGUUAGCAUGGAAUAAUAGAAUAGGACGUGCGGUCCUAUUUUGUUGGUUUCUAGGACCGCCGUAAUGAUUAAUAGGGACAGUCGGGGGCAUCAGUAUUCAAUUGUCAGAGGUGAAAUUCUUGGAUUUAUUGAAGACUAACUACUGCGAAAGCAUUUGCCAAGGAUGUUUUCAUUAAUCAGUGAACGAAAGUUAGGGGAUCGAAGACGAUCAGAUACCGUCGUAGUCUUAACCAUAAACUAUGCCGACUAGGGAUCGGGCGGUGUUUCUAAUGUGACCCGCUCGGCACCUUACGAGAAAUCAAAGUG
rnacentral:rRNA from 1 species